AGGGAAUCUUCCGCAAUGGACGCAAGUCUGACGGAGCAACGCCGCGUGAGUGAAGAAGGUUUUCGGAUCGUAAAACUCUGUUGUUAGAGAAGAACAAGUGCUAGAGUAACUGUUAGCGCCUUGACGGUAUCUAACCAGAAAGCCACGGCUAACUACGUGCCAGCAGCCGCGGUAAUACGUAGGUGGCAAGCGUUGUCCGGAUUUAUUGGGCGUAAAGCGAGCGCAGGCGGUUCCUUAAGUCUGAUGUGAAAGCCCCCGGCUCAACCGGGGAGGGUCAUUGGAAACUGGGGAACUUGAGUGCAGAAGAGGAGAGUGGAAUUCCAUGUGUAGCGGUGAAAUGCGUAGAUAUAUGGAGGAACACCAGUGGCGAAGGCGACUCUCUGGUCUGUAACUGACGCUGAGGCUCGAAAGCGUGGGUAGCAAGCAGGAUUAGAUACCCUGGUAGUCCACGCCGUAAACGAUGAGUGCUAAGUGUUGGAGGGCUUCCGCCCUUCAGUGCUGCAGUUAACGCAUUAAGCACUCCGCCUGGGGAGUACGACCGCAAGGUUG
rnacentral:rRNA from 1 species